UACAGAGGUCUCAAGCGUUGUUCGGAUUCAUUGGGCGUAAAGGGUGCGUAGGUGGCGCCGUAAGUCAGGUGUGAAAUCUCGGGGCUCAACCCCGAAACUGCACUUGAUACUGCGGUGCUCGAGUACUGGAGAGGAGAUUGGAAUUUACGGUGUAGCAGUGAAAUGCGUAGAUAUCGUAAGGAAGACCAGUGGCGAAGGCGAAUCUCUGGACAGUUACUGACACUGAGGCACGAAGGCCAGGGGAG
rnacentral:rRNA from 1 species